rnacentral:RNase_P_RNA from 1 species
UCGCCGGCGGAGGACCCAUCCGGGUCUCGAAGCGGGAGGAAAGUCCGAGCUCCAUAGGACAAGGUGCCGGGUAACUCCCGGUUGGGGCGACCCAGAGGAAAGCGCAACAGAGAGUAGACCGCCAGGGCAUCUUCGGAUGCGUUUCGUUGGCUCCCCACCAUCAUCCUUCGGGCACGGGGGUGGGAGGAGAACGAGUCGGGCAACCGACGGUAAGGCUUAAAGGGUGCGGUAAGAGCGCACCGGCAACCUCGGUAACGGGGCUGGCCAGGUAAACCCCACUUUGGAGCAAGACCAAAUAGGAAAGCGCUACGGGCGGUCCGCUCAGCUUUCGGGUUGGUUGCUUGAGCCUGUCGGUAACGGCAGGCCUAGAUGAAUGAUCACUACUGCAGACUCUGGCGACAGACCUGCGGCACAGGACUCGGCUUACGGAU